AGUGAACGCUGGCGGCAGGCCUAACACAUGCAAGUCGAACGGCAGCACAGUAAGAGCUUGCUCUUACGGGUGGCGAGUGGCGGACGGGUGAGGAAUACAUCGGAAUCUACUUUUUCGUGGGGGAUAACGUAGGGAAACUUACGCUAAUACCGCAUACGACCUACGGGUGAAAGCAGGGGAUCUUCGGACCUUGCGCGAUUGAAUGAGUCGAUGUCGGAUUAGCUAGUUGGCGGGGUAAAGGCCCACCAAGGCGACGAUCCGUAGCUGGUCUGAGAGGAUGAUCAGCCACACUGGAACUGAGACACGGUCCAGACUCCUACGGGAGGCAGCAGUGGGGAAUAUUGGACAAUGGGCGCAAGCCUGAUCCAGCCAUACCGCGUGGGUGAAGAAGGCCUUCGGGUUGUAAAGCCCUUUUGUUGGGAAAGAAAAGCAGCAGGUUAAUACCCCGCUGUUCUGACGGUACCCAAAGAAUAAGCACCGGCUAACUUCGUG
rnacentral:rRNA from 1 species